AACGAACGCUGGCGGCAGGCUUAACACAUGCAAGUCGAACGCGUGUAGCAAUACACGAGUGGCGCACGGGUGAGUAACGCGUGGAUAUCUGCCUUUUGGUUCGGAAUAACUCCGGGAAACUGGAGCUAAUACCGGAUGGUUCCUUCGGGAUAAAGAUUUAUCGCCAAAAGAUGAGUCCGCGUACGAUUAGCUAGUUGGUGAGGUAAUGGCUCACCAAGGCGACGAUCGUUAGCUGGUCUGAGAGGACGAUCAGCCACACUGGGACUGAGACACGGCCCAGACUCCUACGGGAGGCAGCAGUGGGGAAUAUUGGACAAUGGGCGCAAGCCUGAUCCAGCCAUGCCGCGUGAGUGAUGAAGGCCUUAGGGUUGUAAAGCUCUUUCAGUAGGGAAGAUAAUGACGGUACCUACAGAAGAAGCCCCGGCUAACUUCGUGCCAGCCGCCGCAGUAAUAC
rnacentral:rRNA from 1 species